ACACGACUACAUUAGAUACCCCGGUAGUCCUAGGCGUAAAUGAUGCGAGUUAAGUNUGGGGGCAUCUACGAGAUGGCCCUGUGCUGUAGGGUAGCCGUUAAACUCGCUGCCUGGGGAGUACGGUCGCAAGGCUGAAACUUAAAGGAAUUGGCGGGGAGCACCACAAGAGGUGGAGGCUGCGGUUCAAUUGGACUCAACGCCGGAAAACUCAUCGGGAGCGACAGCAGUAUGAUUGCCAGGUUGAUGACCUUGCUUGACAAGCUG
rnacentral:rRNA from 1 species